AACGAACGCUGGCGGCAGGCUUAACACAUGCAAGUCGAGCGCCCCGAAAGGGGAGCGGCAGACGGGUGAGUAACGCGUGGGAAUGUGCCCUUUGGUCUGGAAUAACUCAGGGAAACUUGAGCUAAUACCGGAUAAGCCCUUCGAGGGAAAGAUUUAUUGCCAUUGGAGCAGACCGCGUCAGAUUAGCUAGUUGGUGAGGUAAAAGCUCACCAAGGCGAUGAUCUGUAGCUGGCCUGAGAGGACGACCAGCCACACUGGGACUGAGACACGGCCCAGACUCCUACGGGAGGCAGCAGUGGGGAAUAUUGGACAAUGGGGGCAACCCUGAUCCAGCCAUGCCGCGUGAGUGAUGAAGGCCUUAGGGUUGUAGAGCUCGUUUACUCGGGAAGAUAAUGACUGUACCGAGAGAAUAAGCCCCGGCUACCUUCGUGCCAGCAGCCGCAGUAA
rnacentral:rRNA from 1 species